UACGUAGGGUGCGAGCGUUAAUCGGAAUUACUGGGCGUAAAGCGUGCGCAGGCGGUUCGCUAAGACCGAUGUGAAAUCCCCGGGCUUAACCUGGGAACUGCAUUGGUGACUGGCGGGCUAGAGUAUGGCAGAGGGGGGUAGAAUUCCACGUGUAGCAGUGAAAUGCGUAGAGAUGUGGAGGAAUACCGAUGGCGAAGGCAGCCCCCUGGGCCAAUACUGACGCUCAUGCACGAAAGUGUGGGGAGCAAACAGG
rnacentral:rRNA from 1 species